UCGAGAAUUUUUCACAAUGGGCGCAAGCCUGAUGGAGCGACGCCGCGUGGGGGAUGAAGGGUUUCGAUCCGUAAACCCCUGUCAUUUGCGAACAAACCUUGAAGGUGAACACCUUUCAAGCUGAUUGUAGCGGAAGAGGAAGGGACGGCUAACUCUGUGCCAGCAGCCGCGGUAAUACAGAGGUCCCAAGCGUUGUUCGGAUUCACUGGGCGUAAAGGGUGCGUAGGUGGCCUUGUAAGUUCGAUGUGAAAGCUCGGAGCUUAACUCCGAAAUGGCAUUGAAUACUAUAGGGCUGGAGGGUCGGAAGGGAGACUGGAAUUCUCGGUGUAGCAGUGAAAUGCGUAGAUAUCGAGAGGAACACCAGUGGCGAAGGCGAGUCUCUGGACGACACCUGACACUGAGGCACGAAAGCCAAGGGAGCAAACAGGAUUAGAUACCCGCGUAGUCC
rnacentral:rRNA from 1 species